GGAAACUGAGGCUCAGUGGGGCUGGGAUCACACAGACCGUAAGUGAAGAGUUGCGUGUCUGGACAGCUGUUGUGGCGCCCUGGCCAUCCCAAAAGCUCCAGCAUUCCAUUUCAAGGAUCUCUUGCUGGCUUCCCUCCUACCAUCAUUCCUCUGAGAGAACGUGGCCUUGAGAACAAGGAGUGGAGAGCUGCCAGCUACUGCCACCUGACACAGAGCCUCAUUGCCCUUGCCUGUCUCCUUCCCCUGUCCAUCUUCAGUGUAGGGUCAAGAAGUGGGUCACUCCUUCCUUUUAUCCGAGGUGGACUUCUUGUUUUCUCCCCCCAGAGGUUGCCACGUGUCUAAUUGCCCAUCAAGCUAGAGUGGUGGAGGGAAAUUGGUAUCAAAGAGUUUUUGCUGAAUGCUUGAAUGGACGACGGCUUAGAGAACUGACUGAAGUUUGAGCGGGAAACAGGAAGACAAGGCCAACGUCAUUUAGCCCACCAAAUACCUUCAUGCCCUUUGGGAAGAAGAAAGAUGAAUAUGGAAGAAGCAGAAAAGGAUGAGUUUAAAUUGAGGCAUAAAGAACAUAGAACUAAAUAAGUAAGACCUCAAAAGUCCCUUAGUCAUCAUCUAAUCCAGACCUUUAUUUUUUUAGCAGAGGGCAUCAAACCCCCAAGGGGAUCGUGACCUUAGUGACCUCCUUAAGAUCACAGGGCCAGAGUGAGGCCUUGGGUCUCUUGACUAUUUUGAUCUCAACGAGAUGUUGGUCUCCUCUUCUCCACAUUCACCUCAAACUCAUUUAUUCCAGAAAACUACCUUACCUAACCCAGGGGUCCAGUUAGCACCAAAGUGAUCUGAACUAACCUUGAGUUUACUGUCCUUGGGUCCAUUUUGGCAAUUGCCUCGUGGCCUCAAGACUACCCCCACUUAGAAAGAAUGGGUGAGGGUAGCCAAAGCCAACUGUACAGGGACAGUUUUACCCCAGGCUGGCCCAGGAGAGGUUUGGCUUGGGUUAUUACCAAGGUGCGAGAUCUCACCUCCUAGGAGUUUGUUCCAGGGGUCUGCAGUCAUCGGAAUACGCAGUCUUGAGCAGAGGUGUCUAGACCUUGUCGAAUGAUCAGAGACCGGGACGUCAACACACAUUUUACCCCUUUAUAAUGACUUGGGUGUGCCAAACAGGACCCAUCACCCCCAAGUCCUAGCCUAGGAUUUUCUAACCAAGUAUACAGUUGGAGGAAAAUGUAAUCCACGUGUAUCUGACUCACUCAUCCCUAAAUUAUCCUAAAGUUCCAUUCUGGGAAUGGUUUGAUAUGUACUCUGCUGUUUUUCAACUUUUGGAAUCUUGAGUUGGCCAAGACAAAAUAAAAAGCCAUCCUGAGA